GACUGGUCUGAAGGUAGUGAAUUACCUCAGUUGAAUGUUCACAGUCAGGUACAGAUCCAACUCCUUAUUCCACUCUUUCCCCUUCUCAUUACUGCACUUGAUUAGUCUUAA
ensembl:Y_RNA Y_RNA Y RNA